GCUGCAUCUCGGUUGGCCGCGUACCUGAGCUGCGAUGAACUUGGCGUCCUGCAGGGCAGCUCUCCGACACAGGGCUUUCUAGAGCGUGCCCCGGGGCUCCAGGGUUGGGCUAGGAAAGAGCCCCUGCACGCGGGGCUCUCACCGUCCUGAAGGCUCCCUCCCAGGGAAAUUCUUGCAGAGGCCAUCUUCCCUCCCUGCACUAUCCGAGCCCGGUCCCAACUUACUUUUUUCAUCGUGCUUCCCUCAGGACACCCACCUCCUCCCCUGCCGGCCCCCAGGUUCCCCAAGGUGGAUCUGCAGUGAGACCUCUACCGUGACUCGCGGUUGCAGGCGUUAUUUCUCUCCUUCCUGACAGAAGGUGGCAGGCUGCUGCUGGCCCUCAUUCAGGUGUCUGGAGAGUCACAGAUGUGACUUCUGAGUGAAUUUACUGCAGAGCGAGCUGAGGAUUCCCACGAACUCUGCGUGAAUGACCAGCGAGUCCCCCUCCUCCACCUCCUCCACCGGCUUGGCAGCGCCAAGUACAGUGUGAGCACCGACUCAGCAGACCUGUGGAAAAUAGAGAACUCUGCCCAGUGGAACUCACUCUGGAAGGGGAGAGAGAACUGGCCCUUGGACAAUUCCAGUGCAAUAUGCCACAGCUUCCACUGUCAAGUGGCCCCGGUUACGCAUUUGUUUGUCAAAUGCAAUGACCCUGUGAGUUAGACAUCACCUUCAUUUCAGCCAGGAGGACUCUGAGGCUCAAGAGGUGGGACUUAGGAGGUUGUGUAUGCAUUUUUGUGUGCAUUUUUGUGUUCUCCACGUGCCCGGCGCACUGCCCACUGCACAGCUGCUGAUCAUUUAGGCAGUGAUGAUCACCAGUUCAUGAACCAGGCUGUGAGAAUCAGUCUCCCGGCCAAGGCCACCAGCCACUGGGUAUUGUCCCCACCGGAAAAGUGUCUUGGCUCUGCUCUGGUCUCUACUUGUUUACAAGGAGUAGAAUUGGGUUAGACCUUGUGAAACCCAUGCAUCAACUUCUCAGUCAUCACCUGUUUUCAUUUUAAAUGACUGAAGUCCUCUGCCAUUCCCUUCACUUUCUAAUCAACCCUAGUGUUUCCUCAAAACCAACUGGGGUUCUCAAGCCCUCUGGGACCUCUGUUUUCACUGGCUUUUUUUUCUGAAGCAAUAGAAAUUUAACUUCAGAACUUCUGGUUGAAAUCUAAGGAUAACACCGUGGAUAUUUUAUUCUAUAGAUCGCCAGGUCCUCAACGUUGACAGAAAAGCAAAGAGGAACAGGAGGGCAGACUGUGUUUCCCAGUGGACUGUGGGAGGGCCCCUGACCCAGGAGACAAGGUCCAGGUGGCUUCCUCGGUGUCAGGUGGAAAAGGUGAGAGCUGCAGGGUCAGAAGGGAGCUCCAUGGAGGAGGAGGUGUGGGAGAGAGAGAGAUUUUACAGCCUCUGCAGUGCAAAGCACUGUGUUGCAUCUUCUUACACAAGAGCCUGAAUUCUUCUUCAAGACGUCUGGGGUUGAUUUAUUUUAUAUUUUGUUAUUUUCUUUAUUCUAUUUUUGCUUCAACCCUCAAAGUUAGACUUCAAGGCACUGCAGUUAUAGUCUGGCUACCUAAAUUGAUCUGAAUACCAAAACACAUUUCAGUUGAUCUCAGGGCAUUGGAGCAGAGUUGAUUUUCUUCCCAAAGUGAAGUACCAUGGAGUAGCCCAGGAAAGAAACUGAGCAAUGAUUCCGUCCUUCUGUCGAGGUGGUCUAGGCCGCACCUGCAUCAGAAGAUCAGUCCCUGGGCCACAGUAGGACGUGCUGAAUCAGACUGUCUGAGGACAGAGUUUGAGAAUUUGCCAUUUUAAUGAGCUCUCAACAGCUACAUAAGCACUGUAAAAUUAGACAGCACCUUCUCUAGGCCACCAUUUUUAGCACGUGGUUUAGGACAUGGAAGGCGGAAGGAAGGCUGAGACCACUAGAGGGCAGGAGCUUCAGGCUGACUCUGCUGCUCCCCAGGCUGAAGGGCCCUCCGGCCUUGCUCAGAUGGCCUCACGUUUCCAUGGUUGCUUCUUCAUAGCACACAAAAAGCAGAGUCUUCUCCUGAAAGGAGGAAAAGAUGAACUGAUGACCGCGUUCAAAAACCUACGUCCAGGAAUUUCCCAUCGUGGCUCAGGAGUAAUGAGCCUGACUAGCAUCCAUGAGGAUGCAGGCUUCCUUUGCAUAAUCCUCUGUAAACUCUUUUAGAUAUCCUUCUGUUGGAAAGCAAGACCACAGCUUCCUGUUCCUACAAAGCAUUCCUGCAGGAAAGGGUUCCUGUUACAGGGGGUCCCGCUGAGCUGUCACUUGUGGUUAGCGACCUGGGAUGCAGGAGGUGGGCAGUGUUUCCUGGAGGGAUGACUCUGUUCUUGGCCCCCCCUCUCCGUGAAGUGGAUCUCAGCAGUUCAGUGUGUCACGGGGUUAAAUCCAAUCUGCCACCCACGCAUAGAGAGUUUGAUGAUGGUUUUGUGGGGAGACAAGUAAGGCUUGAAAUGACACAUUCUACAGCAAAGCUGCCUCCAAACUGGCUUCCGGUCCUGCUCACGUCCUCUCCCAGACCUGAAGACCCGCCCUCGCGCUUCUCUCCCUCUCUGGUUCUCUCCUGGUCUUCUCUCCAAAUCCUGUCCCAGGAGCUCCCAUUCCAUCCUGUUUUCUCCAGACUGCAGGUGCUUCUCGCUUCUGGAAGGCUCGGGGGCGGGUGGGGGAGGCAGAUCAUGAAGCACAGAUGUGCCCUCUCCCUCCGUCAGUCACACGUGUGUGAGUGCCUUGUGUCAUCUGGGGCGAGCGUUUUGACAAUGGGAUGUCAUUGGCAUCCGAGCAUUUGAAGUCCGGUGAUCCCAGCCCUGUGUGCUCUGUUACACAUAUUCUCUCUUUCCAGUAGUUUCGAGUCUUUGUGGAAACAGAGAUGGUACCCACCAUCCUCCAUCCUGCAUCCCAUCCACAAUCCUAACAUCGAGAAGAAAGGGUCCCAAAACACUGCAGCAAACUCAUUUGGGAGGAAGAUCUUGACCUGAACCAUGACUAUGCUUCAGGGAUAGUCAAAAAAAUAAAAA
ensembl:lncRNA